CGUUUACAAGGCCCGGGAAUGAAUUCGUCGCCGUAUGACUGACUGGCGAUUACUAGCGAUUUCGGCUUCAUGCAGGUGAGUUGCAGUCUAUAAUCCGAACUAAGGACGAGUUUUUGGAGCUAGUUCACCCUUGCGGGAUCACGAUCCUUUGUCACAUCCAGUGUAGCACGUGUCAUAAGGGGCAUGAUGACUUGAUGUCAUCCUCACCUUCCUCCGGCUUAUCACUGACAGUCUGCUCAGGGUUCUAAACUCAAUGUUGGCAACUAAACAUGAGGGUUGCGCUCGUUGCGGACUUAACCCAACACCUUAUGGCACGAGCUGAUGAUAGUCAUGCACCACCUGUGUCUAGGUCCCCGAAGGCACCCCUUUUUUUCAAGAGGAUUCACAACAUAUCAAGCCCGGGUAAAGUUCUUUGCUUUGCAUCGAAUUAAAACAACAUGCUCCAACGCUUGUGCGGCCCCCCAUCAAUUCCUUUGAGUUUUAUUCUUCUAAACAUCACCCAAGGGGUACC
rnacentral:rRNA from 1 species